AUAGAGGCAGCGGAGUAGAUAGUAGUAGUAAUCGGAAUUCUAUGGAAAGUAGAUAAAUGAAACCGCUACACAUGAGCUACGUUGUUUAAACUGUUUAAUGUAUGCUAUUGAUAUGUGGAAACAUUUUUCGUAAAGUAGCAUUAAGCUAUCAAGCUAAGAUGGAAAAGUACAAAAACUGAUUUUAACAUUUCUCAACAAAAGUACUCCUCAACAGGUAUCAUCAAAGGCAAACAAGAGAGUUUCUAUGAAGGAAGUACCUACAUUACCUUGCUGUGAAGGCUUUGAGAAUCUAGAUUUAACUAAGGUCGAUGUUUCAUUCUUGAUGGGACUGUCACGGAUCAUUGACCUCACAGACAUCAACCUCUAUGCAACUAUUAUGUGCAUCUUCUUUAAUCCAGUUUUCUGGAAUGUUGUAAGUCAUUUAAUAAUAUUAAUAAUUGUUGACUUAUAUAGAGCAUAUUGUAGACUAACCUCCAUGCGCUCCACGCUUAAAUUUUUGUAAUAAAUUUCUAAAUCAAAUACUUUCAGUUGUAUAUUUCAUGUCCCAUCAUGAAGACAGAAAACAAGUAAUUCUAUUAAUGAUUGAAAAAUUAGGAGGCAAACAAACAUGGGGUAUCAUCUAUAUACAUUUACAUGAGACACUAGGUACCUUGUAGUAGAGAGUUAUCAGGGGUGCCAAGUUGGAUCUUGGUAAAAUGAGCUUUUAACAAACCUAAUUUUAUUUUUCUGCACACCAUGAUACCUAUCGUCACCAAUUUCUCUGAGACAAUUGGUAAAUAAAGUAACGUGCAAAUAUUAUGAAUUUGUGGAGGAUGGGUCAUUUUCUGGGAGGUUUCACAUGCAUGUGGGAGGCCG